rnacentral:rRNA from 1 species
UACGUCGGGGGCAAGCGUUGUCCGGAAUCAUUGGGCGUAAAGCGCGUGUAGGCGGCCAGAAAAGUCCGCUGUGAAAACUCGAGGCUCAACUUCGAGCUGUCGGUGGAAACUUUCUGGCUAGAGUCCGGAAGAGGAGAAUGGAAUUCCUGGUGUAGCGGUGAAAUGCGCAGAUAUUGCUCGGAAGGCCAACGGCGAAGGCAGGUUACUGGUACGCAACUGACACUGAGGCACGAAAGCGUGGGGAGCAAACAGG